rnacentral:rRNA from 1 species
UGCCAGCCGCCGCGGUAAUACGGAGGGUGCAAGCGUUAAUCGGAAUUACUGGGCGUAAAGCGCGCGUAGGCGGAUUGUUAAGUCUCAUGUGAAAGCCCUGGGCUCAACCUGGGAACUGCAUGGGAUACUGGCAAUCUAGAAUACAGUAGAGGGUAGUGGAAUUUCACGUGUAGCGGUGAAAUGCGUAGAGAUCUGAAGGAACAUCAGUGGCGAAGGCGACUACCUGGACUGAUAUUGACGCUGAGGUGCGAAAGCGUGGGGAGCAAAGGGGAUUAGAUA